rnacentral:rRNA from 1 species
UACGGAGGGUGCGAGCGUUAAUCGGAAUUACUGGGCGUAAAGGGUGCGUAGGUGGUUUAAUAAGUUAUCUGUGAAAUUCCUGGGCUUAACCUAGGGUGGUCAGAUAAGACUGUUAGGCUUGAGUAUGGGAGAGGGUAGUGGAAUUUCCGGUGUAGCGGUGAAAUGCGUAGAGAUCGGAAGGAACACCAGUGGCGAAGGCGGCUACCUGGCCCAAUACUGACGCUGAGGCACGAGAGCAUGGGGAGCAAACAGG